rnacentral:misc_RNA from 1 species
AUGGCACUUAGUCAACAUUUCUCUUUCAUGCCACGUAUAACAAGACCAUCCUUCAAUUUUAGUAGUUAAUACCGUUGUCCUUCAACUUUGUCAUUUAUAAUAUCAUUAUCCCACAACUUUACAUCAAUGUAAUACCAUUGUGGUUUAAAACUACAUUUUCAUAAUCCCAUCCAAUAUAAAUAUACCAUAACUAGAAUUUUUAAUCUUAGAUUUAACUUUUUUACAUUAAUGUAAUGGUAUAUUUAUAUUGGAUGUGGUCAUGAGAAU